rnacentral:rRNA from 1 species
UACGGAGGGUGCGAGCGUUGUCCGGAAUCACUGGGCGUAAAGGGCGCGUAGGCGGCUUCUCAAGCGUGUGGUGAAAGUCCGGGGGCUCAACCCCGGAUCGGCCGUGCGGACUGGGGAGCUCGAGUUCUGUAGAGGCGGGUGGAAUUCCGAGUGUAGAGGUGAAAUUCGUAGAUAUUCGGAAGAACACCAGUGGCGAAGGCGACUCACUGGACAGGUAUUGACGCUGAGGUGCGAAAGCGUGGGGAGCAAACAGG